UUGAAAUCUGGCACCUUCGGUGUCCGAGUUGUAAUUUGAAGAAGGUAACCUUGGGGUUGGCUCUUGUCUAUGUUUCUUGGAACAGAACGUCACAGAGGGUGAGAAUCCCGUGCGAUGAGAUGCCCAAUUCUAUGUAAGGUGCUUUCGAAGAGUCGAGUUGUUUGGGAAUGCAGCUCUAAGUGGGUGGUAAAUUCCAUCUAAAGCUAAAUAUUGGCGAGAGACCGAUAGCGAACAAGUACAGUGAUGGAAAGAUGAAAAGAACUUUGAAAAGAGAGUGAAAAAGUACGUGAAAUUGUUGAAAGGGAA
rnacentral:rRNA from 1 species